UGGAGGUAUCAGAAGUGCGAAUGCUGACAUAAGUAACGAUAAAGCGGGUGAAAAGCCCGCUCGCCGGAAGACCAAGGGUUCCUGUCCAACGUUAAUCGGGGCAGGGUGAGUCGACCCCUAAGGCGAGGCCGAAAGGCGUAGUCGAUGGGAAACGGGUUAAUAUUCCCGUACUUGGUGUUACUGCGAAGGGGGGACGGAGAAGGCUAUGUUGGCCGGGCGACGGUUGUCCCGGUUUAAGCGUGUAGGUGUGUGUUCCAGGUAAAUCCGGUUCACUUUAACACUGAGGCGUGACGACGAGGCACUACGGUGCUGAAGCAACAAAUGCCCUGCUUCCAGGAAAAGCCUCUAAGCAUCAGGUAACACGAAAUCGUACCCCAAACCGACACAGGUGGUCAGGUAGAGAAUACCAAGGCGCUUGAGAGAACUCGGGUGAAGGAACUAGGCAAAAUGGUGCCGUAACUUCGGGAGAAGGCACGCUGACACGUAGGUGAAGUGAUUUACUCAUGGAGCUGAAGUCAGUCGAAGAUACCAGCUGGCUGCAACUGUUUAUUAAAAACACAGCACUGUGCAAACACGAAAGUGGACGUAUACGGUGUGACGCCUGCCCGGUGCCGGAA
rnacentral:rRNA from 1 species